UUCAUUGAAGUUCUUAGCUUAACUCUUUUGGGCAUCUAGUUGUGAACAAAACUAGAGCAUCCAAAAAUUUGAAGCUAUGAUAUGAUAUGUCAUGACAUGGAUGAAAGCAUUGAGUGGUUGUUUCAGAAGGAUAAAAAUUUCUGCAUCUAGUAUUUGCUAUUAUUUUUCUAUUAGUAGGAUUCUGGUAGUUUGAUAGACUUAUGAAAUAGCUUUGUGCUCCACAUGAUACUCACUCCUGCCAUAACACCUAGGAAUGAUUCUUGGAAUGUUAGUCAUCUCAAAGUACGCUCCAAAAGUUUUAUAUUAUGCAAAACAUAAAAGGAAGCAAAUCUAUGUGCAUUUUUGUGCAAUUUUGAAUUUUAAAGCUCUCACUGAUCUACUUUUGUAACAGUGACUAAUUUAUAUUCAA
rnacentral:lncRNA from 1 species